GUGCCAGCAGCCGCGGUAAGACGUAGGGGGCAAGCGUUAUCCGGAUUCACUGGGCGUAAAGGGCGCGUAGGCGGUUACGUAAGUCCGGCGUGAAAUCUCACGGCUCAACCGUGGAAUGCCGUCGGAUACUGCGUUGACUAGAGGGCGGUAGAGGUACCUGGAACUAGCGGUGUAGCGGUGAAAUGCGCAGAUAUCGCUAGGAACGCCGGUGGCGAAGGCGAGGUACUGGGCCGUUCCUGACGCUGAGGCGCGAAAGCUAGGGGAGCGAACCGGAUUAGAUACCCCCGUAGUCC
rnacentral:rRNA from 1 species